UCGAAUGUAUAGCUGUUGAUAGAUUUCAAGCUGGAAUCUGGAUAGCAGGUUGAAGAUCUACUAUUUCUUAAUAUCAUGUACUGGGUCAAUAUGGUCUUGAGGUUUAUCCAUGUUGUCAAUGGUAUGUUUUACCAAAGUUAAUGUUAAGCAUUUAGUGCAUUUGACUAUGUGUGUUAUUCAGUAUAAUUUGAGCAGGUCUUAAUCUCUUUAGCCUAAAAUGUUUUGGAAAAGUUCCUCAAUAUAACCCUCCUUUCUAUGAGCAAGAAUUUGUUGAUAUUAUCAUAUCCUUUUUUGGUGCUUAGUAUUCAAUUGGUUGUUAAGAAAAAUGUUUCAACAGUCUCAUCAUGGAUUUAGCACCUUUCAUGCUCAUACAUGGUGGCUUAUGUCACAAUAGGAGCUCAUUUUCUAAUUUUCUGUUUAUGUGGUUGUUCCUUUUGGCCGUCUCACUCAUAAUUACAUUCUCCAAUAUGAUCAUGAUCAGGAAAGGGAGAUCAGCCGACAACUACUAUUUUUUCAACAAGAUAUCUCAUCUGGAGUUGGAAGACAUCUCCGAUAUACAAACUUUUGACUUCUUAAAUGGUGUUUUUCUCUUUGAGGAUGCAGUUGUUUAGCCCACAUUGGUGAUUGUUUACUUUGGCGGUAAUGAUUUGAUGGGACCUCAUUCAUCUGGAUUGGGUCCACAUGUACCUCUUCCAGAAUACAUCGAGAACAUGAGAAAAAUUGCAACUCAUCUCAAGGGUCUCUCGGAGAAUAUCCGCAUAAUCUUUCUCUGUUGUCCACCUAUUGACGAGGUCAAAGUUCAUGAAAAUACAAGUUCAUGUUUCAGUGAGUUGGUUCGAACAAAUAAGUUGUGUCGACAGUAUUCCAAGGCCUGCAUUGAGCUGUGCAAAGAGAUGAAUCUAAAGUUUGUUGAUCUUUGGACAGCACUUUAGAAAAGAGAAGAUUGGUUGACUGCUUGUUUUACGUCCUUUAAAUGAUGGAGAAUUAUUGACUAGGAGUCUGAAGACAUUAAAUUUUGUAUUAAGAAAUAAUUGUACAACAAAUUUAUAUUAAUUUUUUUUUUUUCAAAAAUAUUAAUAUUAGUGGCGACUAUAAGUUGCCACUAAAGAUGUAUUUCCUCCAUAUUGAAAUUGCCUAUUGUAGCAAGGUGAAGUUGCC